CGUUGUUUUUAACAACAGCCAAUGCUUCUGUGCUCAUUAUUGCACUCGCGAUUUGAAAGAAGCGCCUUAGGGCAAUCGCAAGUUAACAUCAUCAUUAUCUGAGAGAUGAUACCUUCGGGUGAUAACCGCAAGAUAA
rnacentral:sRNA from 1 species